GGGACCCCCCCAGCCCCCGGCGGCCCCAGCCGCCGCUGCCGGGCCGGGCAGGGAAGCGCCACCGACCGCUGUGCGCCAUCUUUACUGUGAGGCGACGAGCCAGAGAGCGGGGCCGGGCCCCACCCCGCGCCCUGGAUAGAGCUUCGCCGGCCAGCAUAGGUGCUGCAUAACGGCGGAAACCAUGCAGGUUGCGGGGCCUCGCCAUCUCGCCGCCCGGGCGCCUGAGUAAGCCAUGCGAGACGGAUGCUUGCCCGCCAUAACGCUGGGUGAUAUGCAGGGCCCUGGGCCCGAGACCCAGCGCGGCCCCCCGUGCUGGAUAGCUCGGCCUCCCGCCGCCGCAGCCCCGCAUAGCUCGGAGGACCAUACCCGCGCGGGGGAACCUCGCGAGCGAGCCCCGGAACCUGGCUGCCGCAUAACGGAGACGCACUAAUCUCCUGCAGCCUCCAGGAAAAGGAGCUCCCAGCAGCAUCUUCUGAGCCUGUCUCAACCUUAUAUUCCAAAACGCCUCUAACUGUUUACAACACAGCUGUAGCCAGUAAACCCAGGCUGUGCUCAACAAAACAGGAAGACCCCACAACUCAGCACAGGUGUGUCAGGGAGAAAUAAACUCAGCUGCUACUGCCCAGGGCCACGCCAUGCAGGAGCGACGAGGCGGCGCUGCGAGGACACGCUGCGAUCAGGACCCAGGAGAGGAGCAGCGGGAAACAGGACCCCACGGGCAGCCCAGCAAGGCAGGGUGACAGCGGGAGCGGGACUCACCGGCGGCGGCCCGGGGGGUCGGGAAGCGGGAGCGGGACUCACCGGCGGCGGCCCGGGGGGUCGGGAAGCGGGA